GCGCUGGGGACGUGCCAGAACUUCCCCGGGCAGGAGGCUCGGAGCCUCCAGGAAGGAGGAAGGCCCAGCGACGCACGCAGGUGAUGUCCACUCAACCUUCAGGAGCUCCCAGCUAAGGCUCCCAUCCAGGCAGCCCAGUGCCCACGCUCGGCGAGGCCGAAGUGACAGGGAGCCAGGUCCUCAGGGGACUGCAGACAUCGACCUUGUGAAGGAAGGAGGAACAGCCUUGGACCCAGGCCACCCGAUGUGAGCCGGCGAAGGGGGUGACGGUCCCGCCCAGGCUGAGCCACCACUGCUAGACGCCAGCAGGCAGGGGGACCGCACAAUAAUGACCACCGGCGGGCAUCAUCAUCCCGCAGCGCCGGGGCCCUCCACCUGUCGGGGGGACUCCGCUAGCUCCCCAACAAGGCUGUCGCCAGGACUAAAUGGGGCGCCCGCACUCGGAAGGCCAAGGGCAAGGCCAAGGCAGGUCCAGAGCCACCCAUCCAGCACGGGCUCCUUGCCACGCUGGCAACCGAGCCCCUGCGUCGCGGCCGGCCCAAACCGAGACGGCGCGCCUAUGAAACACGCUCCUGAUCCCAAAGACAAGCCUCAAACAAACCCCGCGUGAAUCCUUGUCUCUUCAUGGCACGCUGCGAUGAUCGUAUACAGAGUACGUUU